rnacentral:rRNA from 1 species
UACGUAGGGUCCAAGCGUUAUCCGGAAUCACUGGGCGUAAAGCGUGCGUAAGUGGCGUGUUAAGUGUGAUGUUAAAACGUGGGGCUCAACCCUGUCGGUGCAUCACAUACUGGCAUGCUAGAGGACGGCAGAGGCAAGUGGAAUUUGUAGUGUAGCAGUGAAAUGCGUAGAUAUUACAAGGAACACCAAUGGCGAAGGCAGCUUGCUGGGCCACUCCUGACACUGAGGUACGAAAGCGUGGGGAGCGAACAGG